rnacentral:rRNA from 1 species
UUCAGAGUCCGAGUUGUAAUUUGCAGAGGGCGCUUUGGCAUUGGCAGCGGUCCAAGUUCUUUGGAACAGGACGUCACAGAGGGUGAGAAUCCCGUACGUGGUCGCUAGCCUUUGCCGUGUAAAGCCCCUUCGACGAGUCGAGUUGUUUGGGAAUGCAGCUCUAAAUGGGAGGUAAAUUUCUUCUAAAGCUAAAUACUGGCCAGAGACCGAUAGCGCACAAGUAGAGUGAUCGAAAGAUGAAAAGCACUUUGGAAAGAGAGUCAAAUAGCACGUGAAAUUGUUGAAAGGGAAGCGCUUGCAGCCAGACUUGCCUGUAGUUGCUUAUCUGGACUUUUGUCCAGUGCACUCUUCUGCGGGCAGGCCAGCAUCAGUUUGGGCGGUUGGAUAAAGGUCUCUGUCAUGUACCUCUCUUCGGGGAGGCCUUAUAGGGGAGACGACAUGCAACCAGCCUGGACUGAGGUCCGCGCAUUUGCUAGGAUGCUGGCGUAAUGGCUGUAAGCGGCCCGUCUUGAAACACGGACCAAGGAGUCUAACAUCUAUGCGAGUGUUUGGGUGUCAAGCCCAGACGCGUAAUGAAAGUGAACGGAGGUGGGAACCCUUUGGGUGCACCAUCGACCGAUCCUGAUGUCUUCGGAAGGAUUUGAGUAAGAGCAUGGCUGUUGGGACCCGAAAGAUGGUGAACUAUGCUUGAAUAGGGUGAAGCCAGAGGAAACUCUGGUGGAGGCUCGCAGCGGUU